rnacentral:rRNA from 1 species
GACGAACGCUGGCGGCGUGCCUAAUACAUGCAAGUCGAACGAGAGCGACCGGUGCUUGCACUGGUCAAUCUAGUGGCGAACGGGUGAGUAACACGUGGGUAACCUGCCCAUCAGAGGGGGAUAACAUUCGGAAACGGAUGCUAAAACCGCAUAGGUCUUCGAACCGCAGGGUUUGUAGAGGAAAAGAGGCGCAAGCUACUGCUGAUGGAUGGACCCGCGGUGCCUUAGCUAGUUGGUGGGGGAACGGCCUACCAAGGCCGUGAUGGAGAGCCGGCCCGAGAGGGGGAUUCGGCCCACUGGAACUUGGACCCGGUCCAGACCCCCACGGGAGGCAGCAGUUGGGAAUAUUUCCGAAUGGGCGAAAGCCUGACCGAGCCAAGCCGCGUGGGUUAAGAAGGUUUUCGGAUUGUAAAACACUUUUUGUUGGGAAGAAGUAAGGUCUGGGAAAACCGUGAGGGCUUGACGGUACCUAACCAGAAAGCCACGGCUAACUACGUG